rnacentral:rRNA from 1 species
AUACGGAGGGUGCAAGCGUUAUUCGGAAUCACUGGGCGUAAAGGACGCGUAGGCGGGUUGGCAAGUCAGAUGUGAAAUCCUACAGCUUAACUGUAGAACUGCAUUUGAAACUGCUAACCUAGAGUAUGGGAGGGGGAGAUGGAAUUAGUGGUGUAGGGGUAAAAUCCGUAGAUAUCACUAGGAAUACCGAAAGCGAAGGCGAUCUCCUGGAACAUAACUGACGCUAAGGCGUGAAAGCGUGCGGAGCAAACAGGAUUAGAAACCCCAGUAGUCC